GAAAGGCUCAUUAAAUCAGUUAUGGUUCCUUAGAUCGUACCCACAAUUACUUGGAUAACUGUGGUAAUUCUAGAGCUAAUACAUGCAAACAGAGCUCCGACCGGAGACGGAAGGAGUGCUUUUAUUAGAUCAAAACCAAUCGGUGGCGGGUUCGCCCGUUAUCGUACAACUUGGUGACUCUGAAUAACUUUACGCUGAUCGCACGGUCAUCGCACCGGCGACGCAUCUUUCAAAUGUCUGCCUUAUCAACUGUCGAUGGUAGGUUCUGCGCCUACCAUGGUUGUAACGGGUAACGGGGAAUCAGGGUUCGAUUCCGGAGAGGGAGCCUGAGAAACGGCUACCACAUCCAAGGAAGGCAGCAGGCGCGCAAAUUACCCACUCCCGGCACGGGGAGGUAGUGACGAAAAAUAACGAUACGGGACUCAUCCGAGGCCCCGUAAUCGGAAUGAGUACACUCUAAACCCUUUAACGAGGAUCAAUUGGAGGGCAAGUCUGGUGCC
rnacentral:rRNA from 2 species